GCCUGGAGUGCCUCGGCGCAGUGUCGAUUCUUCGGCUUAAAAUCCGCCGGGGGCGACCCCAUGCCGGUUCGAUUCCGGCUCCGGGCACCA
rnacentral:tRNA from 1 species